GAUGAACGCUGGCGGCAGGCUUAACACAUGCAAGUCGAGCGGAGAUGAGGUGCUUGCACCUUAUCUUAGCGGCGGACGGGUGAGUAAUGCUUAGGAAUCUGCCUAUUAGUGGGGGACAACAUUCCGAAAGGAAUGCUAAUACCGCAUACGCCCUACGGGGGAAAGCAGGGGAUCUUCGGACCUUGCGCUAAUAGAUGAGCCUAAGUCGGAUUAGCUAGUUGGUGGGGUAAAGGCCUACCAAGGCGACGAUCUGUAGCGGGUCUGAGAGGAUGGUCCGCCACACUGGGACCGCGACAAGGCCCGGACUCCUACGGGAGGCAGCAGUGGGGAAUAUUGGACAAUGGGCGGAAGCCUGAUCCAGCCAUGCCGCGUGUGUGAAGAAGGCCUUUUGGUUGUAAAGCACUUUAAGCGAGGAGGAGGCUACCUGGAUUAAUACUCUAGGAUAGUGGACGUUACUCGCAGAAUAAGCACCGGCUAACUCUGUGCCAGCCGCCGCCGUAA
rnacentral:rRNA from 1 species